GAUGAAGAACGUAGCGAAAUGCGAUAAGUAAUGUGAAUUGCAGAAUUCAGUGAAUCAUCGAAUCUUUGAACGCACAUUGCGCCCCCUGGUAUUCCGGGGGGCAUGCCUGUCCGAGCGUCAUUACAACCCUCAAGCUCAGCUUGGUAUUGGGCCCCGCCGACCCGGCGGGCCCUAGAGUCAGUGGCGGUGCCGUCCGGCUCCGAGCGUAGUAAUUCUUCUCGCUCUGGAGGUCCGGUCGUGUGCUCGCCAGCAACCCCCAAUUUUUUUCAGGUUGACCUCGGAUCAGGUAGGGAUACCCGCUGAACUUAAGCAUAUCAAUAAGCGGAGGA
rnacentral:misc_RNA from 1 species